rnacentral:rRNA from 1 species
UACGAGGGGGGCAAAUGUUGUUCGGAAUCACUGGGCGUAAAGGGAGCGUAGGCGGGUUUUUAAGUCAGGUGUUUAAUCCCGGGGCCCAACCCCGGACAGGCACUUGAAACUGGGAAUCUUGAAUAGUGGAGAGGUCAGUGGAAUUGGGGGUGUAGCGGUGGAAUGCGUAGGAGAUCCCCAAGAACACCCGUUGCGAAGGCGGCUGACUGGACACAUAUUGACGCUGAGGCUCGAAAGCAUGGGGAGCAAACAGGG